rnacentral:rRNA from 1 species
AGGUGAUGAUACGUAGCCGAACUGAGAGGUUGAUCGGCCACAUUGGGACUGAGACACGGCCCAAACUCCUACGGGAGGCAGCAGUAGGGAAUCUUCCACAAUGGACGAAAGUCUGAUGGAGCAACGCCGCGUGAAUGAAGAAGGCCUUCGGGUCGUAAAAUUCUGUUGUCAGAGAAGAAUGUGCGUGAGAGUAACUGUUCACGUAUUGACGGUAUCUGACCAGAAAGCCACGGCUAACUACGUGCCAGCAGCCGCGGUAAUACGUAGGUGGCAAGCGUUGUCCGGAUUUAUUGGGCGUAAAGGGAACGCAGGCGGUCUUUUAAGUCUGAUGUGAAAGCCUUCGGCUUAACCGAAGUAGUGCAUUGGAAACUGGAAGACUUGAGUGCAGAAGAGGAGAGUGGAACUCCAUGUGUAGCGGUGAAAUGCGUAGAUAUAUGGAAGAACACCAGUGGCGAAAGCGGCUCUCUGGUCUGUAACUGACGCUGAGGUUCGAAAGCGUGGGUAGCAAACAGGAUUAGAUACCCUGGUAGUCCACGCCGUAAACGAUGAGUGCUAAGUGUUGGAGGGUUUCCGCCCUUCAGUGCUGCAGCUAACGCAUUAAGCACUCCGCCUGGGGAGUACGGUCGCAAGACUGAAACUCAAAGGAAUUGACGGGGGCCCGCACAAGCGGUGGAGCAUGUGGUUUAAUUCGAAGCAACGCGAAGAACCUUACCAGGUCUUGACAUCUUCUGACAAUUCCAGAGAUGGAACGUUCCCUUCGGGGACAGAAUGACAGGUGGUGCAUGGUUGUCGUCAGCUCGUGUCGUGAGAUGUUGGGUUAAGUCCCGCAACGAGCGCAACCCUUAUUGUCAGUUGCCAUCAUUAAGUUGGGCACUCUGGCGAGACUGCCGGUGACAAACCGGAGGAAGGUGGGGAUGACGCCAAAUCAUCAUGCCCCUUAUGACCUGGGCUACACACGUGCUACAAUGGACGGUACAACGAGUCGCUAACUCGCGAGGGCAAGCUAAUCUCUUAAAGCCGUUCUCAGUUCGGAUUGCAGGCUGCAACUCGCCUGCAUGAAGUCGGAAUCGCUAGUAAUCGCGAAUCAGCAUGUCGCGGUGAAUACGUUCCCGGGCCUUGUACACACCGCCCGUCACACCAUGAGAGUUUGUAACACCCAAAGUCGGUGGGGUAACCUUUUGGAGCCAGCCGCCUAAGGUGGGACAGAUGAUUGGGGUGAAGUCGAAACAAGGUA